AGGUGCGAUCAUACCAACAUUAAUGCACCGAAUCCCAUCAGAACUCUGUCGUUAAGCGUGCUUGGGUGAGAGUGGUACUAGGAUGGGUGACCUCCUAGGAAGUCUUCGUGUUGCACCUC
rnacentral:rRNA from 2 species